GCCAACUAUAUAUAUAGAUAUGUAUAAAUUAAUGUGCCCUCAUCGAGAAGAAGAGAAUAUAGGAAUAUAAGAACUAAGAUGGAUUGGAUCGGAGCGUACCGCGGAGGCCAGAGAAGCAGGGACUGGUGCGACCCUUCAUCACCAUUCACUGAUUUGUGGGACCCUCGUCGUGUCGGUGACGCUGAUGAUAUCACCUCCUCUCUCGCCCAUGCUCACGUUGACUGGCGUGAGACUGAUAAAGCUCAUAUCUUCCGUGCUGAUCUUCCAGGUUAGCCCUUCUCAACCACACGCACCUACUUUAACAAUUCAACUUACUUUUUUUUGUUUUAUAUUCGCAUCAUACAUACGCGCUGAAUCAAUUUGGAAUUUAAUUAGAACCAGUUAGCUAUAGCCUUUCAUGUUCCCAUACCAUGCAUAUAACAGAGAAAGUCACAACACUCAAAUAGGGAAAUUAAUGUUAUUCUAUAUUAUCACUUUUCAUCACGAUAUAUCACCACUUAUAUUAUAGUACAUAUCGCUUUCUUUUUCAUUUAUCUAUUUUCUUCUCCAAGUAUAAAGACUGUCUACUGUCCAGGAAUUAUUUUCCUUAUACCAUCAUUGGAUUUAAUUCAGGAAAUAAAGCCAUUUAAGAAGGGUUUGUUGUUAGAUAUUAAUUAGAAUAAUAAUAAUAAUAAGUUUUAUGAGUCUUAAAUUGUAAAAGAUGAAAGUUGUAAGGUUGUAAGUUAUAAAGCCUUGAAUAAGUAAUUAUGUGAGUAUUUAGUAUUCUUGAAUAAACAAAUUAUGUGAGUCAUCACUCUAUUUUAAUAUAAAUAGGGGAUCAUACUCUUAUAUUUGAUGUGCCAAAUGAAAUAAAAUCUUCUUCUUUCAAUGUUUGGUCCAAUUUUUUAAACUUAAAUAUCUUUCAAUAAUUUGCUGUGUAUACGUAUUUUUAUUUCUUAAUUCUUCAAUCUUUGUUUUGAAGAAAGGAGAAGCCUAGUUUCAUAUUUUAUUUAUCCUUUCUAAUUUGUGAAGAAGUUAAGUUGAAUUUUAUUUCACUAUUACCCUUUAGUUGAUGACAAAGAUGAAAAUUUAUUUAUAUAUAUAUAUUAAUUGAGAAUUCAUAAUUCUUUGUGGUGAUAUAAAAAAUGAAGGAAAAAGAAAAAGAGAUAGCAGUUAUAGCAUGUGUAAUUGGCGUGUGUGCGUUGGUUUCUCGCGGGUUCAGAUUCGCGAGGUCCCUAUUAUGCAAGCUGAGCGAGUUGUGGGGACACAAUAAUAUUGAUGGCAGGGGUGAAGAAAGAGGAUCUGAAGGUGCAGGUGGAGGAGAAUAAGAUCCUGCAGAUAAGCGGGGAGAGGGUGAAGGAGAAGGAGGACCAGAACGACAAGUGGCACCGCGUCGAGAGGCAGUGCGGAAGCUUCCUCCGCCGCUUCCGGCUGCCGGAGGAUGCCAACCCCAACCAGAUCAGCUGCACGCUCGAAAACGGGGUGCUGAACGUCACCGUGCCCAAGGUGGAGAAGAAGCCGGAGAACAAGAACGUGAGGCAGAUUGAUGUGGUUUGAUGAUGAUGGAGCAUCAUGAGGACUUGUAAUGUUUGAAUGAGUUUUGUGUUAUGUGUGUGUGCGCAACUGUGCAUAUUACUGUACAAGUUAAUAACUACGUGUCUGCCAUAUGAAUCAAUGUAAGUUUGAUAUGAAUGGGAGGAAACUUUGUUUGCAUAGUUUGGGAAUUUUUUUUCUUUUUCUUUUCUUUGUUUUCAUCUUAUUAAUUAAGGUGGGAGUUGUGCACUGUCUUGAUGCUUGUUCUCUUCAAUAAAUGGUAAGACUUUUUUUCUUUUGUUAAUAGCAGUACUAAAUGGUUAGUGAGACUUUGUAAAUCUUAUUCUGACUUGCAAAAUUAGUUUAGGAAAUCUGAAAGGUAUAGAUUUUUUAGGAUGAGUUCCAAAAUCCAAGAGUUUUUAUGAUUUGAGAAAGUCAAAUACAAAUAUUUCAAUUUCAAUUAGUUUUUAGUUUUUAAUAUUUUUUUAAUUUAGUAAUUAAAUUUUUUAAAUAUUUUUUGAAUUUAGUAAUUAAUUUUUUAAAUAUUUCUUAAUUUUUUAAAACGUUACUUCCUAAUUUUUUUAGAUUUUUUUAUUUUUAUUCUUGAUGUAUUUUUUUUUAUUAUUUUACUAUUUUUCAUAAACACUUCUAAUUUAUUUGACUAAUUUUUCAAUUUCAUUUUCAAUAUUCCAGCUAGUUUCAUCAAACUCACUCUUCUAUUUUAAUAAAUUAAUUUUUUAACAUCCAGUUAUUUAUCCAUAUUCCAACUAUAUUUUAUCCAAUAUAACCAUACAAAAUUUCUAAAAGAUAUUUGUUAUCUUAUUAAACUAAUAAAGUUCAUUAACUGUAUUGAGACACGAAGGAACAUUUUAAGAGUUCUUAUAUGUAAGGAAAAGAGAUAUGAUUCUAAGUCAUGUUUAAUUAAUAUUAUUAUAAAUUUAAAAAUAUUUAUAGAAUUCAUUUGUUUAAGUGUGAUGGUCAUUAAAUAUAAUAUAAUGAUAUCACUCAUAAUUUAAGAAAUAUUUUUAUAAUUAAUGAAAUUAAAUAAGUUAAUUAUAUUAUUAAUAGUCCAAUAAACAUAUUUAUUUUUAUAAAAAUAAGUAAUAUUUCAUUAAUUAAUUUCACAUUUAAAUAAUAAAAAAUUAAUAUUAAAAGUGAUUAUUGUUUCUUAUAAUUAAAAAAUAGUAUCAUUUGUUUCUUUAAUAAAUGGAAAGUGUAUUAAAAAUGAACGAUAUCUCAUUAACUAAUUUCACAUUAAAAUAAUAAAAAAGUAAUAAUAAAAGUGAUUAUUUUUUCUUAUGAUUAAAAAUUAGUAUCAUUCAUUUCUUUAAUAAAUGAAAAGUUUAUUAGUAUAAAAAGGGGAGUACAAAUAACUAUUUAUUAACUCGAAAAAAUUCAAUUAAGUUUAAUUGAAUUAAUUUAAAAGUUAGAUUAAACUCAACCUGGUCACUGACUUAUUUUCCAUGUGAACAUGUAAUAUAUAUUUUUUCUUCUAUAUUUUUAAAGUAAAUAUUAUUUAUCUAUCAAUAAACUUUAGGGACUAAAAGUAGUAAUUUCAUAUUUUUGAGGAUGAAAUAAAAAAUAAAAAUUGUAAGAUACAAAAUAAUACGCACUUAAUUGAUUGGAGUACAUUUUUAAAAGAAAAAAGAAAUGCUGAAAUGGUUAUCUGAUAGAUAUUAUGCAAUCUGUGUAAGGAUAAUUAACGAUAACACAAGGGCCACAAGAGCAACAGAGACGUUAACUACCAGCUUCAUUUCUCGCAAGUCGCAAAAUUAAAGCUGCUUAAUUGACUACAGGACACUACAAAGUACAAACCAUAAUGCGCAUGCGAAUAGAAUUCAACAUUCCGAACAACAAAGAUGCUACUCUUUUCCUGUUAUCAUAUCCCUUCUUCUAUGGUUUUCCUGUUAUCAUAUGUCUAUUGCCACCUAAAAGAAGAUUAUAGGUGAAGGAAUUCUCGGAAACCUGUGAUUUACUUGUUGAUUAUACAGCAAUCAAGAUUCCUUUAGGACACACAACAGGGGAACAUGAAAAUAGAUAAUAAUUAAGAAGUGAAAGUUAAUUAAACAUUUAGAAUGCCAUAUUUUGAAUUUUUUGCAUUCCAAACCUUCUCCAUCUUGAAUAAAGUGCCUUAGAAACAAAUACCUGAAAAUAUUAAAUAUGAUGAUCUAAUCUGGUGUACGUGAAUGUGAUUUGAACAGGUGCUAUGUUCUGUCAAUUAUUUCAAUAUUGUAUUCCAAAUUUUAGUAUAAGUAUUCAUAUUUUGUUCAAUUAAGGAAAAAUGAUUGUAAGGUAGUUAGGAUUAUAGAAAAUUAAAGUUUAGUAUAAGUAUUCAUAUUUUGUUCCAAAUAUUAAUUAAUAUUUCUGAGGGACUAACUUGCUAGCGCUUCACACCUUUCAUGAACGAAUUAGGGGUCUACUCUAUUUUUAAGUUUCAAUGCCUCCCUCAAAAAAAAAGUUUCAAUGCCUAUACGAGUUUCUCUGCCCUCACUUGACUAAUUACUAAUGUAGUAAUAAAAGAAUGAGAUUGAGACCAAAACGUCUAAAUUGAUUUAUGAAGAUUUUGACUGAUAAAAUUUGAAAAAGCAAGAGUUUUUUUCUCUCCUUAUUUUAGCUUAAAUUAUUUAACAUUAAGUGAAGAUGUUUAAUGGAGAGAAUUGAAAUAGAUGAUGUGAUAUUUUAUAAUAUUUUCUCUCCAUAGAGGUUUGUCAGGGAGCAUAUUAAAAUAUGUGAGAACUAAGUUACCCUGAGACUCCAUAAUGAUUUUGCUUUUUUUUUUUCUUCUUCUCCUCGCCACCAAAGAUUUUUUUUUUUUUUUUCUAAGUUCUACAUCGCACAUUCCGGCAAUUUUGUGUGCCUUUUGCCAUCCUCUUCCAGAGAUGACUUGUCGAUCCUCCCGUACACAUGCUGGUCAAGACCACAAGAUUCACAACCUCCUUUGAGGAUCCAAACUUUUGUGUAGCAUUGUUAGUGUGUUGUUCAUGGUGGAGGUAAUGGUGUUACUUUGGUCCAUCUUAGCGCAAAAAAUAUUUUUUUUAAUAUUUAGCCAUUGAAAAUCACCAUUUUUAUGACCAUUUUACAUUGUUAGUUUCAAGUUUAUAGUAGUUUUAAAGGAUUAAAAUAUAACAACAUUAACGAAGUUAAAAAAUUACAAUUAUAAAUUUUAAACUAUAAAAAUUAAAAGAAAAUUUAUUGUCGGUAGAAGAAUAGAAAGGUAAUUAUACCAAUUUAUUCUCCUCAAUACCGUUCAAAUGAAACUGUUUAUAAUCUUCUUAUUUAUUUAUUUUCUUUUUUUAACUUUCCAACCCGAAAUUUGAUCUGGCCCUUGCCCCAUCGUUUUCUUUUUCGAUUUUUACGAAGUUUGGUCGGGUAUGACAGUGGUUGGUGAUAAGUUAUUCAAUCAAAGUGUAAAUAAUAAAUUCAGUAUAUAAAUAUGUAAGCUGAAAAAAAAAAAAAUACUAAAGUCACUGAGCACGUGUAUUGACUACUGAGUGGGAAAAAUGGAACACGGAUGGGCUAAUGAGUAGAAGUGGGAGACAGUUGGAAACAACUGGGAAAUAAGUAUUUUGUAUAUUCUUUUUAGAAAGCAGUACAAAUAAAAUUAUAAUGUCGAUAGAUAUUGGCUUUUGAUAUAAAGUAAAGUAUCAAUAACAUACUUUUUUUUGGCACAUUUUAAAAAAAUACUUUUUAAUAAUUUUUCAAUAAUUCCUAAUAUAACCUAUUUUAUUACUUAAAAUAUUGAAUCCCAUUGAUUUAGAAAUUAAAUUUACUAGUACAUUUUUAGUAGAAUUAAUAUAAAUUUCACCUAAUAAAAAAACAAUCGUAGCUUGAAACAAUGAAACUGCAGAAUACAGAAUAAAAAAAAAUCGCAAUAUUAAAAUAUACUAGUAGUAACCUAGUUUAUUGGUUCCGGAAGUGCAUUAUGACGUGGAACCUUCUCAGCCGUUCACGUGCGACGGUAAUUACGAAGAUUCGCUGGCUUAUCACAUUUCACGAGGUGAGGUUCACGGAUUUAAAUUAGAGCCAAAGAUGCACAAUUGAAUUGACUCUCUCCUUCAAAUACCAGUGGUGAUAUUUUCCCUUUUUCACUUCUCAUUUUCUCCUCUUUUUGCCCUAAUCAUAUGAAGGUGUUAACACGUUCUCUAUGUUGGAUUUUAUGGAAGUGGAGGGAUAGGUAAAACAACUACUUCUGUAAAAGUAAUUGUUAUAGUUAGUUGUUGUUUUACCUAUUCCACCAAUUCCAUCUAUCCCUUCCCUUCAAGUUUUCUGAUUUCUUCUGAAGAAGGCAAGUAUAGUGGGUUUUUACUCCGGUUUUGUCUUCCAAUAAAUUGAUUUUAAGAUUUUUAACUGAAGUUUUGUUUGGUUAUUUGUUGGGAAGUUCACGGAUCUGAGUUUAUGUUUUGAUUGUUCUCGGUUUAUAAUGGAGAUCUCAGAUCUCUGAUUAUGAUGUAUUUGUUGCCCCGAUUUAGUAGAUCUGUUAUUUCAAAAUUGUGAGAAUAAAUUAAAUUAAGUAAACUAGAGAAACAAAACUUAAAUUAGGUUUUUUUCUCUGGUUUUCUAUGUUAGUAUUUAAUUUUAAGAUUGUUAACAGCAAUUUUGUUUGAUUUUUUGUUUGUUUGUUUAUUUUUCCUUUUUUUUCUCUAGAGGUUCAUAGAUCUGGGAGUCUAAGUUUGGAAGUUGUUAGUUUAUAGCUGAGAUAUCAGAUUUUGUUGUAUUUGGCGUCCCUAAUUUAGAAGACAUGUUGUUUUUAAAUUGUGAGAAUUUAAUUUAAUUAAAUGAAGUUCACGGAUCAGUGGAAUGUGUUCAGAUCUUGCAAUUAGCUCAAUGUAUUUGCAAACUCGGCAUUUUGUUUUUUUUUUUUCAUUUUUUUUGGUUCAAAUUUUGUAACAAGUCACCUGUCAUAUCUUUCUAUUUAAUGGUUAUCACUUUCUACCUUGCAUAUGUUUUAUGCCCUAAAUGAUUAUCAAUGGGCAUUUAAGUGAAUAAAAAGUCCCAAGUAGAAGGGAAACACCUUUGGUUCUCACAUCGCAGUAUUUGGUCAUGUUUUUCGAUAAAUAAAUCUGAGGAUGAGGUUUUUUUUUUUUGGUACAUGAAGAUGACGUUGUCGAAGAAGUACUUUCAGAAAAUGAAUGGAACAGCAAUUGAAAGUGUGAAAGCAUUGAUAUCAUGUUGGACAUGGCAUGUGAGGAAGUUGUGUAUUUCAUAAUUCAUAGUUCUUAGAAUGGCUCAAAUACUUUGAAAAUAGUGGCCUUUGGAUGGUCAUCUGCAAGUUCCAAGUUUUAAGAGGACUAAGUCUGAACAUGAUAAGAAUCUGCAAAAUAAGCGAAGUUCAAAUUUUUACACCUCACAAUAAUGACAUUGCAACCCUGAUGUUACUCAACCAAAGAAAUGGGGAAGAAGUUGCACAACAGGGAACGAAGAGUCUUGAGUCUUAAUUUACGGUUAGGAUAAUCUAGGUGCAUAAAUUGCAGGGGAGGAAUAAAAUUUAGAUAUAGUAUCAUAAGUACAGUUGAUGUUGUUCUUUAAUCAAAUUUAAAGUUUUACCUCAAUAAUGUACUGUUUAGAAAUAAAUAAACUUAAGGGGUUGAUUGAGAGGUGUAAAAUUUUGGUGUGUUUAUAUAUGUGAGAUAUGUUUGAUUUUUAUGAAAUGUAAAAUUUUCUUUUCAAGGUUUCGUUUUGUUUAUAUAUGUGAGAAUUAUGUUUGAAUUUCAUGAUACGUAAAAUUUUCUUAUGAGAGGAGCAAAUUAAAUUAUGGAUCUGAAAAAAUAGUGGACAAAUUUGACGACAUUGGGACAAGCAUCCUUCAUUGCGACAUGGAUUAAUGAAUGUGAUCGGGAUUAGAACUCGAUGACAUGAAUGUAAUCCACAGCCACAUGGCAUUAUUGCGAAUAAUUAGAUACCCCUGUCCAAGAUAAAUACGCUAGUCGCAUUUCUUUCUUUUUCAGCCUUCACUGGAUUUCAUUUAAACAUUUGAAUUUUAUGCCAUUUGAUAUGCAUAUAUAUCUUAACAAGUUUAAUUUGAUCCACUGUCAUUGAAAUGAUUAUUAUAUUAUUUCAUUAAUUAAAUAUUAUUGGAAGUAUAAUUUUUAAAAUAACUUAUUAAAGUUAAUUUUACUAUACUACAUCAUGAUUUAUUAUUUUUUUAGAAUAAUUUAUUGUGAAAUGACAGUUUUUACAUAAAUAAUAUAUCAUGUAUUUAAAUAAUAAUGACAGUUUUAAUUUAUUAUAUGUAAAUGGCAUUUUUUAUAUCCAAAAACAUAUAAUAAUUUUAGUCAAAAUAUAUUAGUAAUGGGUAAAUAUUUUUAUAUUUAACUUGCGGAUUAAGUCAGAGUUUACAAUAAUUGCUUACUUUUUAAAAGUUAAUUUAAAAUUAAUGAAAAUAAAUUAUUAUUAUUAUUAAUAAUAAAUAAAUUGAAAGAAACAGGAAUUUGUGACGGCUUAGAAAGAAUAAGUGACGUAUUUCCUUGCAUUAUUUAUAUAUCAAGAUUAACUCUUCUGAAUUAUAGUAUUAUUGUCAAACGACUAACACAUUUAAUUAAUUAAUUAAUGAUUAAUGAUCUAAGAAACUUUUUUUCCUUACCAAUAUAUUUAAUCAUAUCAAAUAUUCGUUACUAAUACCUUAAGGCAAAGGCAUGAGGUGUCUGACUUUAAAAUAUAAUAAAUAACUUUUAAUUAAUAUAACAUUCACAUGUAUAUCAUUUAUUUAUAUAUAUAAUUUAAUAAAUAAAAUUUAUUAAUAUUUAUCAUAUCAUUAUAUAUAUUUUGAUCUAUCCGAAUUAUUAAUGUCUUAUUUUUAAUAAUCCUAUGAUAAAAAAUAAUUUAAAUUAAAAUUAUAAAGAACUUAUUUUUUAUUAUCAUAAUCAUGAUAACAAAUUUUUAUUUUAAUCAAGAACUUAUCAAAUUAAUAAUUUAAUAAAAUAAUAAAAUAAAAAAUAAUUCUUUAUUAGAAUUGAUAAUAUGAUAGAUUGUAUGUUGAUCAUACUUAUUUAUUCUUAAUAGUUGCUUAGUUUGUUCAACUCAAGGAAGGUAAGCAUAAGUUUUCUUUAAUUUUAUAUCAAUAAAUUCUUUUAAACAUUAUUCGUUAGAUUCCUUUUUUUUGUUUUUUAAUUUUCAUUUUGUAUGUUUUGGCAGUUGUUCGAGAACAUGACAGUAAUGAAUUUUAAUGAUUGUCAACAUAUAACAGAGAUACCUGACAUAUGUGGUGUCCCAAAUUUACAAGAAUUAUAUUUUAAUUCUUGGAUCGAUUGGAUCCCUGGAUAAACUUAAAAUCUUGGAUGCUAAUGGCUGCAGGAAGCCUAAGGGUUUUUCACCCUAUCAAAUUGGCCUCUCUUGAAGAACUUCAUCUUUCAUUUUGUGAUAUUCUUGAGUGUUUUCCAGAAAUAUUAAGGAAGAUGGAAAAUUUAACUUUCCUUUAUAUUUAUGGCACUCCCAUAAAAGAACUGCCAUCUUCAAUUCAAAAUCUCACUCGACUUCAAACAAUUAAACUGAGUAGUGGUGGAUUUAUUCGGUUACCAAAUAACAUUUUUGUUAUGAAAGAACUUCGUUGUUUCCAUGUUGACAAAUGUGAGGUGUUGCUACUUCCCGGAGAGAAUGAAGGAGAAGAACAAAUGAGCUCAUUGAUGUUUGAAAAUACAUUUGACUUUCGUAAACUUUCACAGUCCAAUAUGUCAGCCAAAUUCCUUCUUUUAAGUGGGUGCAAGAAUCUUGAAAAAAUUAAAGGGUUUCCACUGAACAUAGAAGAAUUGAUUGUAGAAUCCUGCGGUUCCUUGAAAGAUCUAGAUCUUAUUCUUCCUCCUAUAUGCACCGAAGAAUGUCGUAGUUUGAGUAAAUUUAAAUUGAAUGGUUACUGGGUGCUUGAAGAAAUAAAAGGGAUUCCAUCCAUCAUUGGAAUUUUUUCUGCAAGAUAUUGUAGAUUCUUGAGUUUUGAGUGUAGAAGCAUGUCACUGAAUAAUGUUGGUAUUUACCUAUAUAUUUGACUUGAUAAUUUAUAUAUUUCACAUUGACUGAUACUCUGAAUAUUUAUGUUGCUAAAUUUAUGAAUGAAUUAUGACCUAUAGGAAUUGGAUGAGGCUGAUUUGCCAGGAACAAGCAUUCCAGAGUGGUUUGAGCAUUGUAUCAAUGGUUCAUCAAUUUCUUUCUGGUUUAGUAACAAGUUCCCUGUGAUAUCUCUAUCUUUUGUUUUUGCUGGACCGGAGUUAUAUGCGGGAGUAUGGUUCAUAGUUAUCAUCAAUAGUAAGAAAUAUUUAUCACCGCAUAUUUUCUGUGCGGAUUUAUCCGGUGAUCUUCUGUGUAUAUGUGAUCACAUAGAAGAACUAUUCUACGACUGUGUUUUUCUGGAAAAUGAAUGGAAUCACGUGGUGUGUACUAUAUCAUGGGUACCAAUCAAACAAAUUGGAAUCCAUGUUUUCAAACAAGGAAGCAACAUGGAGGAUAUCCAAUUUACCUCCGCUAUUGUUGAAUGAAAAGCGAGAUUUUCACAAUUGACCAACAUGGGGAAAAAAAGAAGAGACUGGCGUUUGUCUCUUCCUGGAAAUGAAGUCUCUUCCCUUUGAUUGAUGAUAUUGAUAAAAUUUUAUGGUUUUAGGACAAAUUAAAUUGGCUUGCUUUGAUUAUUAUGUAAUGUUAUGUAUUCCACCAAUAUAUCUAAACUUUAUUCACUGACACUAAUACACUGUACUUCAUGUUAUUUUUGCAGUAUUUUCUUAAAGUUUGUAGAUGUACAUAUCAAUGGUAAAUACAUCUUUUUUGGCGAAUGAAAAUGCCAGCAUAAUUUGAUGGUUAGCGUUACUUUUAUAAGUCGACAAAUUAAACCGAAAUGAAACUUUCUUUGGGAGAGACUAGGCUUUAACAAGCAGAGUACAUCAAGAGCAAGUCUUCAUAAGCAUAACUUACGGUAUAUUGCAAUUUUAAAGAACAAAAUGUACACAGUCCAUAUGGCGAUUUAAUUUUCAUUUAGAAGAAUAAAUUAGUUAACUCCUGUUUUUAUUAAAUUAGAAUAUAAUUACUCAUUUCUAUAUGUUUUCAAAGUGAUCAAGCAUGUUCUAAUAUUUAAAAUUUUAGGAUUGGAACUACCAAAACGAGUAUUUAGUAAGCAUGUUCCAAUGCUCACCCCUGUACAAGUCUUUUUGUUUUCUGUUAUCACUUCAAUAAAAUCCUCUCUAAUAGACCAAAUAUUGGCUCAAACAAUCACCUUUGACCUAUCUAACCAGUGACCACAAUUUUUCUACUAGUCUCACUCGAAAUGUGUAAUUAAUCAAAAUUAAGCCACUUAAAUAUCCAUGUUCAAUAUUUACUUCUCUGUUCAAAUUGGAAGAUCUCCUGUUCAUAAACUCCAUGCCAUUCUUUUGAUUCAAUCUGUUAAAUAAUAGUGAGAUAGAGAAAGAGCAGUUGAUAAAAUGAAAACCCACCACCUUUUUCUGCUUCGUUUGAAUUAACUUGUUCUAAAUUCUAAACAAAGCUUAUUGAAGAAUGCUUACUGCUAGAAGUGAAAUUUCUCCCUGGACUUGGGUCUGAUGAGGUGAAUAUGAUAGGAAUUUAUGGUAUUGGUGGUAUAGGGAAAACCACCAUUGCUCGUGCUGUUAAUAACAUGAUUUUUAGUCAUUUUGAAGGUAUGCGUUUCCUCCCUAACAUUAUAGAAAACGAAAUUAAUAAGAAUGGCCUGGCAAACUCCGAGAAAUGCUACUUUCUGAAAUACUCAAGCAGAAAGAUGUCAAAGUGGGAGAUGUCAACAGGGGAUUCCAAUAAUAAAAAGGAAGCUUCAACAAAAGAAGGUUCUUUUGGUUCUAGAUGGUGUUGAUAAAUUAGAACAGUUGAAGGUACUUGCAGGAGAAUAUGAUUGGUUUGGCUCUGGAAAUAUAAUCAUUAUCACCACAAGAGACAAACACUUGCUAGCUACUCAUGGGGUGGUAAAACUAUACGACUUUAAACCAUUAAAUGUUGAAAAGGUUCUUCAAUUGUUUAACUGGCAUGCGCUGAUCCAAGUUAUGUGGAUAUUUCAAACCAUGCACUUUCUUAUGCAUGUGGCCUUCAUUUGGCUUUGGAAGUGAUAGGUUCUCAGUUAUUUGGAAAAAGUUUGAAUGAAUGUAAUUUUGCAUUGGAUAAAUAUGAAAGAAUUCCUUAUAAGAAGAUCCAUGGAAUACUUAAAGUAAGCUAUGAUGGUUUGGAAGAAAGUGAGUGAGAAGGGAAUUUUCCGUGACAUUUCUUGUUUCUUCAAUAAAUGGUGGAUGCUGAUUUUUUGAAGAAAAUCAUAAUGAAGAAGAGUUGAACUCAGAAGUGUCUCCAAUGGCCAUGCUUAUUAGUGAUUUUUACGAGUAUAUUACAUGUCUUGAUGUGUAUUAUCCAUACAUAAAGUUUAAUAAUGUCAUCCGAUUAAGUAUGCAGUCCUAAUCUGUAUAUGCAUUGUGAUUUUGAUUUGAUGUUCCACAUGCUUGCAAGAGGUGAGGAAGACUUGCAUCACAGAAGCAGGAAAUCAUCACUGCAUUUCUGGUUUCGAAACAAAUUUCCUAAGAUCACGGUAUGUUGUUCUAUAUUGCCUGGUUUGAAUUUUCUCUUGGUGUUCAUUUUCAAGUUGAGAGUACUCAUCAAUGGCACUAAGCAAUUCAGUUCUUCAUGUAAUUACAUAUAUUCCACAGGGAAUCCAAUACUUUGGUGUGAUCUAGAAUGCUAAGCCGAGGUGGCGAUAUUUUCAGAGCACGAAUUGAAUGAAGCUGAGAUUUUAUUUGUUAAAAUGCCCUACAUCAAGUUCAGGAGUAGUAAUGGAGAUCCCUAACUUUGCCAGAGUAAUUUUAGACUGGACCCUAAUUGAGUUAAAAAAUCAGAUGUCAACUUUUUCAUUCUCUAACAUGCUCAUAGAACCUCCAUAUUUGUUACCUAGUUGGUUGUACAAUGUUGUUAGUUAUGCAGCUGAAUGAAAAAGGGUAAGAGAUGAAUAUUCCAUAAUUUUGACUUAUUAGUCAAACUGUCUAUGUAUCAAGACAUAUAUAUAAGAGGCAAUUCAGAAUGUAAUAGAUGACAAAGAAUGCAAUAGAUUUGGACAAAUAAUCAUGGUUUCUCUUACCUUCUUUGUUGUGAAAGAAGGUAGUUUAUAAGACCUGUAAAAAAAAUUUAGUAAUGAUAACUUAUAAUUUUUUCGUAUAGGAAAGAAACGAAAAGUAGGAAAACCUGCAGGGACCUAAAGAUCAAUUAAACAAUAGAAUAGAAUGAAUCGAUAAAAGAAUAUGUGAAAAAAACACAAAAUUAAUGAAACCGAAGUUAAAAAAUAGAAUAGAAUGAAUCAUGAUCUAUCAUCUUUCAUUAAGUUCCAUUCCAAAUUUCACAAACCAAAUAAUGAAACUACUUUCCCUUUCACUCAAUUUCUCUCCAUUCCAUCGAUCGCUACCUCUUUUUCAUUUAACAACAUAGUACAAACAACUAGGUAAUGAAGAGGGAGGUUCCAUGAGCAUGUUACAGAAUGAAAAGGUUGACAUGGGAUCUUUAAAUUUAAUAUCCUCCUUAUUAUUUCCCUCCUCGUAGACACCAAAUAGGGUCCAAUUUAGACGUCCCUCAGCAAAGUUGUGGAGCGACAUUGUUAAUCCAGCACAUGGUGUGGGGUAUCCCAACUCAAACAAAAUCUCAGCUUCAUUCCAUUCUUGCUCUGAAAACAUCCCCUCUGCUUUGCUUUCUAGAUCACACCAAAGUUUUGGGUUCCAUGUUUGUGUAAAUAAGUAGUUACAUGAUGAACUAAAUAUCUUAGUGCCGUUGAUGAGUACGCCCAACUUCAAAAUCAAUAUCAUGGUAAUUUUCAAACUAGGCAAUACAGAACAACAUACCGCAAUCUUGGGGAAUUUGUUUCGAAACGAGAAAUGCAUUGACGAUUUCCUGCAUCUGCUCCCAUCCUUGCUUGCAAGCUUUUUGAACAACAAAAUGAAAUCAUGAUGCAAGAGCAGAUUAGGACUGCAUACUUGGAUGACAUUAUUUGGACUUAUGUGUGGAUAAUACAUGUCAAUAUAUGUAAAAUCCAGGUCACCAUCAACAACAACCAUGGACCUUGGAGACACUUCUAAGCUCAACUCUUGUUCAUAUUGGUUCUCUUCCCAAAAUCGAUAUACCACAUGCCCAAAACCGAAAAUCACUUUAACUUUCGGCAAUAUACAUAUACUACCUGGUAGCUGAUGAAGCCUUCCGCAUUUCCUCAGGGACAAAAGUUGAAGCCCAACAAAAUUUCCAAUUGAACAUGGCAGUGUCUCUAUGGCUGUCUCGUCUAAAUAUAUUUCUUUUAUGUUCUCCAUCUUUCCCAAUACUUCCGGGAAGCUAUCAAGACAUGUGCACCCCCGAAGGUCCAAAAUUUCAAGAGAUGGCAACAUGACGCAGGGUGCUAGAAUUUUUAGCUUGCUACACCGUUUAGCACUCAAGAGUUGGAGCUUAUCAAGAAAGCCAAUUGAACCAUCAAUUUUAACCAAAUUGGUGCAAUUAUCAAUACACAAAUAUGCUAAAAGUGGUACUUCUCGUAGGCUUGGUAGAUCUGUUAAGAACUGGCAAUCUUCAAUGCUUAACACAGACAAUGAUUCAAACAUCUGCAAAUUAAAAGACAAUGACUCAAGUUGUGUGUGAGGUGCGUGUUUUUUUUUUUUUUUAAAGUAGAAAUUCAUGUUAAAAAUAAUAACUUCGAAACUGAUACAUACAUUGUAUGGUUGGAAGAUUUGAAGGCAACUUUCAGGCAUAAGGAGUAGCUCAACUCGUUUAGGAUUGAAAUCAGCAGGCAAAGAUGGUGAAGGGUAGCAACUCCAAUCUAGCACUCUCAAACUAUUUGGCAGAUGCUCGGGGCCUGUAGAAAAGGUUGUAUUUUCAAUAAUCAAAAUCCUCAGGUUCUUCAUCUCCUUCAAGGCUUUUCCAUUCCAUUGCACUUGUAUGUUGUUGUACCCUUCAAGCUUUAUGAAUUCUAUUUUAUCAGUUCCCUUCCAUGCCCAAAGCACAAUUUAGCCACAAAAAUGUGCACAUUAGCAAUCUCAUCAUCAUAUAAAAAUUAAAUAGAUAACAGGGGAAAGAAUCCCAAAAAUUAUCAUGUAUUCAGUAAAAUUGUUAUUUUAAUAAAGGAAUGAAAAGCAAAGAAAUAGCAUAGAGAUGUUCGUAAUUUCUAACAUACCGUAUUUUCUUCCAAAACAUGAACAAUGUCCUCUUCAAACCAUAACCUACUACGUCUGCCAGGCUCAACUGUUGAUUCUUGCCUUACAAUUUCUCUGCCUGUGUCUCGAAUUAGAUCAUGCAUUCUCACACAACCAGAAGCAUCAAUCUUUAAGAGAGAUCUGUCAACCAACACUCUCAAACCAUCUUUUACAUGAAAACCAUGAGCACGUAGCACUGAUGUGACGUAGCCCACACCACAAGUAUUGAAGAAACAAGCAAUGUCAAGGAAAAUUUGCUUCUCAUUUUCUUCCAAACCAUCAUAGCUUACUUUAAGUAUUUCAUGGAUCUUUUCAUGAGGAAUUCUUUCAUAUUUAUCCAAUGCAGAAUUACAUUCGUACCCCAUUGCCCAGAGGCUCUUCGCUAUGCGAAGGUAUGAGGGAGGGAUAUUGUACGCAGUCUUACCCUUGCAUAUGCAAAGAGGCUGUUUCCGGAUUCGAACCCAUGACCAACAAGUCACCAAGGCACAACUUUACCGCUGCACCAGGGCUCGCCCUCCAAUGCAGAAUUACAUUCAUUCAAACUUUUUCCAAAUAAAUGAGAACCUAUCACUUCCAGAGCCAAUGGAAUGCCACACGCAUAAGAAACUGCACGGUUAGCAAUAUUCACAUAAAGUGGAUCAGCUUUAUGAUUUUUAAAGGCACACCAGUUAAACAAUUCAAGAGCCUUUGCAACAUUUAAUGGUUUAACAUCAUAUAUUUUUACCACCCCAUGAGUCGCUAGCAAGUGUUUGUCUCUUGUGGUGAUAAUGAUUAUACUUCCAUUGCCAAACCAACGACUUUCUCCUGCAAGAACCUUUAACUGCUCUAAUUUGUCAACAUCAUCUAAAACCAGAAGAACCUUCUUUUUUUCAAGCCUCCUUUUUAUUAUUGGAAUUCCUCUGUUAACAUCACCCACUUUGAUAUGUUUCUUCUUGAGUACUUCAGAAAGUAACAUUUCUUGGAGUUGGACAAGACCUUGCUUAUUGAUUGCCUUUUCUCUAAUGUCAAGGAGAAAACAUGUGCCUUCAAAUUGACUACAAAUCAAGUUAUACACGGCACGAGAAAUUGUGGUUUUACCGAUACCACCAAUACCAUAAAUUCCUAUAAUGUUGACAUCAGAACCAUGUCCAAGGAGAGAUUUCACUUCUAGCACUGCAUGCUCUAGCCCAAUUGGAUUAUCAGCAAUGUGUAAAGGAAUGCAACUAAUCCUUUUAUAGACCUCUUUAACAAUUUUUCGGAUGGACUUAUAUUCUAGCUCCCUGCCCAUUGUAUAAAACAUGUGAAUUGAAACUAAAGCUUCAAAUUUGUGUUUAGUUUACUCAUUUCAAUCAGAAUUAAUCUCAUAAAUUUAUUGUCUCCAUUUCUUAAAUUUCACCGUUCAAGAUAGAUCAAUGUGAUUUACUAUGCUUUCUUUCUUUGUGAGUAAUUAAUAUGAAAAUUAUUAGGCAAAUGUAAAAAGAGAUCAGUUUAUAACACAUACAAUAAAAAGGAAGUAUAGAAUACCCAUGUUGGAAAUGCCAGCCUGAUAGAUUGGCUGCUUCAUAUAAAGCCUUCCUCCAUUUUUGCACUUUGUCACUGUCAUCUGGGAACCUUUCUUCAUGUUUUGCCAAUGCUUCUGAAUAAGUCCCUUUCUGAUGCCGAACAUGUGAUGGAUCCACAUCAUAAAAUAUUGGAAAAACUGAUCGACCUUUUUCUUCCUUCAAGCACUCAAGGAUCUUGACAAGUUUAUCCAAACAAAAAGUUGAGGAUGCAUAGUUCUUAGAGAAAACAACAAUGGCAAUCCUUGAAUUUUGAAUGGCAUUGAGAAGAGCUGGUGUAAUUUCUUCCCCUCUUCUAAGCCCUUCAUCAUCAAUGAAAGUAUGAACUCCCUUUUCACACAGAGAAUUGUAGAGAUUGCCAGUGAAUUUUUGACGAGUGUCUUCACCUCUAAAACUGAGGAAGACAUCAUAAAUCCAUUUAAGUGUGAAGGUAGACCAAGAUGGUGCUGUUCUGUGUGCCAUGAUUUAGGAACUUCAGAAAUAUAAACACAAAGAAACUUGGAAGACAACUUAUGUUUGCAGUAAAACAAGUUUGUGAUCAGUAAGGAGGAAUUAGCAAGUAUUUAUAUACCAAGAAGUUGCAAGGUUGUUGUUUGUGUUAGUUGUUUAUUUGUUUUGUGAUUUACUUAUCAUUGCUUUUGGUUCGAAAGAAGGGGUAAAUGUGAGAAGUGUCCUACUUUCUUUGUUGACUUUUUUUGCAGGCAAAAAAAAUUUAUUAACAUGGGAUUCAAAUCAGAAGUAAAAGGAAUACUCUAACCCUUGUAUAUAUAUAAGAAACAUCAGAAAUUUAAGAGGAAUCCAUGAAGAUACAAGACAUAAAAUAGCAAUCCAAAACGGACAAAGAGGUUAUAUCUAACUAAGCUUGGAAUCAAAGAUCAAGAGUCGACCUUGAUAAAAUCCAAAAAAAAUAAAGCUUAAGCCAAAAGGAAACGUUACAGAAAAUAAUUUUGCUCCCUAGCAAAAACAAAGAGACCAUAUGCGAAUGGUCACUCUAUGGUUACAUAGAAAUAAAAUUGUUUUCAAUAAUGACAGUCCUAACUUUGAAUGUGUUUCUGAUUUGAUCAAGUAUAGAUCGUGGAUAUGAUGGUCUAAUAGGAGAAUGAAGUCUUUUUCCUUUUCUUUUUAUGAAUGGUCAAUGUAUCCCAUGGAGUGUUUGAAGGAAUUAUGUAGGAGUACUAAGGUGUGUUUAUUAUUUAUAGGAAAAGGUUUAUCAGAUUUAAUUGGUCAGUGGAAUGGUGCAGAACAGGUUUUUUUGUUUUCUGUAGAAAGGUUGAGUAUCCCUUGUACCCUAUCUAAUAUAUCUAAUAUUUUUAUAUGUUGCUAGUAAUUUCUUUAUAUGUUGUUAGUAAUUUUUUUAUGUUUUCUUCUCCAAUGUUGUUAGUAAUUUUUAGAAUGUUACUGCAAUCAGAAUAGCAAAUAUUCCUCUGAAUUUUCAGGUAUGAAAUUGUACUGCUGCAACUGUGGUCUCUUUAAGAUAAAUCAUAAUCUUUUUUGGAACUCAAUCAAAGCUUUAAGUUAUCGAGCAUGCGCAACCUAAUUAGCCAUACAUUUAAAUUUCAAAACUGUAUUAGUUUACUUUGUGCAAUUUUUUAUUAUUAUUGUGUAUUUUAAGAUGGAGCAUAUAAAGCCUAAUUAUUAAUGAUUUCUUUUGUAUUUAACUAUAACUUAAUUUGGAAAAUAUAAAGCUUAAUUAUUACUAUUUUUUGGAGUCUUAUUAUUUAUAAUAAAAAAAAUAAAAAACAGACUGCCAGUGUAAAAUAAUUUAUAUCGUUUCCAAUCAUAAUAUUAAUGUAUCAUGUGUGAUAAUUAUUUAAAAGUUAUAUAAAUAAUAAUUUAUAAUUAAAUGAAUAUAUAAAAUUAUUUUAUGUUAUCGAUACAUCACCACUCAACUCAAAUUAAAUACAAACAUAUACUUAACUCAUUUUCGCCCAUUCGUUAUGCAAAAACUUUACAUACGGUUCAUGGAAAAAAAUCCUCUCCAUUCCUUCAAUUUCUAUGGUUUUGGAAAAAUAAAUGAUAGUCUUCAUUUAAGUGUAUUAUGUCAAUUUCAUUUAUUUGUCUCAAACUUUAUAAUAAAAAAAUGGGGAGGCAAAGAAAUUGAGAUAGGAGUAUUUAUUUCACGGAAUAUUUAAUUAUUUUUGAGAAUACAAGAUAAAAAAAUUAAUUCUAGAUAUAUUUUAUUUCCAAUAAAAAUAUAAUCUCAUAUUCUAUUAAUAUUUAGUCCUUAGGUGUAAAAUUUCAUAUAUAAUUUCCUAGUAACCACUAUCCUACUAGUAUCUCGUUGCUCCUUCCUUCAGCACAUGUGACUUGAUUUUUUUUUUUUUUUCAAUUUCACAAAUUUCAUUUCCUUCCAAUAAAUUAAUGUUGUUGCAAUUUGAUUUUGUAUCAAUUUCAUGAAUACAUUUUAGGAUCAUAUUUCCUUUCCUUUAGCAUGCUCCUUCUUAUUCUUUUUUUCAAAUCGUCGAACACAUGAGAGGGAACGAGGGAGGUAAUGGGAGAUUUUGUAAUAAGAAUAUUUUAUUAAUUAUAAUAUAUAUUUUCAGAUGAAAAGAAUUUCCUUGAAACAAAUGUUUGCCAUUGAAAUUAUUAUUUUUAUGUAAAAAUAAUCAUUAUGCACACACGUUACGAGGAAUACAAUGAAAAAUCCAAACUAGUUUUUUUUAACACUGAAAAUCUAAAGAGAAAGUGAUUCCCUCAGCGGUGACAGAACGCUUCCUUGAGCAGAGAAACCCAAGCAGAUCGAUUACUCUUGAGAAAACAAGAUGAGGUGCGCAUGCAUUUUAUUUUCUUAGCUACUCUUUCUCUUCUGAGAACGUGAUUGAACAGAUAAUUUUAUAGCACAUGCAUACUGUGAUUUCUCUUUGUUUUGCCUAAUUACUAUUUUUUUUUUAACUUGGAUAAAUUUCUUUGUGCUUUGUUGUUCUGGAUUUCUUUUAAUCGUAUUUACUUCUUCGUGUUCUCCUUUUUAAUUUGUCUGCUUAUUUUUUAGAAAAAAAAAAACAAAAUAAUUAGGGUUUUAGCGUUUUAAAUUUUCAUUGAAGCGAUAAUUUCAUUAUGUAUCAUAUCGUUUGUAAUCUUCAUAUGGAUUGUUGCAAAGAGUUGUUUAUGUAACCUUUUUUUUUCUCGAUUUUUAUUUUCAGUUUGCUUCUUUCUUGUAGGGUUUAGUUUAGUACUACUUGCUCUGUUUUUGCCUCUUUUUUUGCUGUUAGGGUAGCGAGAAAUAGAGAAAACGACUGGUUAGUAAAAAAAAAUCGUGUUUUUGUUGUUCAAAUUUGAAACUGUCUCAGUUGUGGUACCCUGUUCAUCCAUGAUCUCUGUGGCAAGAUUGAAUUUGGUCUUAGAGGUGUAUUUCUCUUUUUGGUUUCAUUCUUAAAUUUAUUUGUUACUAAAUGGUUAUGGAUGCAAGUGAUGGGAAUCUUCUGCUGUCUACCACAUAUCUGGAAUAGUAAUGACUCAUGAGUUGGAUGCACUCAUUUUACCACUUUGGUGUUGUUUACUGUUUAGCAUGUAUCAAGAAAACAUUUUUCAUAAUAAUUGAUGACUACAUGAAUUGCCAAAAACUUCAUUCUUGCACAUGUGCUUGUCAAUGUGUUUUAUAGCUUAUUUUAGUCUGCAGUUUGGAGGUAGAACUUAAAAAUGCUCUACUUGAAUUAGCAUUUAUUCAAACAUGGAUACAAUCAGUCUAUUUUUCAUCCAAAAACAGUUUUCUUAUUUGAGUCUCUAUUAAUCUUGUCACAUUACCAAACUGUUUACAGCAAGUAUACUAUUAUCUGUUCCUCAAAAGUGCUACUCUAACUUUCUUCCUGAUAUUUUUGCUUAUAAUACAGCCGCCACCCUUCUGUCAAAUGGGCUCAGACGUCUGAUGUACUCUACUUAACAGUUGAGCUGCCUGAUGCUCAGGAUGUUAAGCUCAAACUGGAGCCAGAAGGAAAAUUUUACUUCUCUGCAACUGCUGGUGCAGAGAAGAUUCCUUAUGAAGUUGACAUUGAUCUGUUUGACAAGAUUGAUGUAAAUGUAAGAGCAGUGACCUGAUGGUUUGUUAAUCAUAUCUUUUUCAUCUAUCUUGUAAUUAGUGUGGUACUAUGUCUUCUCAGAAUAGCAAAGCCAGUGUUGGUUCAAGACACAUCUGCUACUUGGUGAAAAAGGCUGAGAACAAGUGGUGGGACAGAUUGUUGAAGCAGGGAGGGAAAUCUCCAGUCUUUCUGAAAGUUGAUUGGGAUAAAUGGGUUGAUGAAGAUGAGGAGCAAGAUAAUAAACGUUAGUGAUUUUCUAAAUUUCUGUUAACUUUAGGUUUCAUUUUCCAUUGUUUUGUCUCAUUUCCAUAUUCCCUUUUCAGCUGCAGCAUCUGAUAUGGACUUUGGUGACAUUGAUUUUUCUGUAAGUAGCAUAGCUCAAACAAUAUAGUUUUACACUGAUAUUUUUAGUUAGAUGGGCACUCAAGUCUUGACCAUGAAUUCAUUUUCUAUGCAGAAGAUGAGCAUGGGAGGGGGUGAGGGAUUGGAUUUUGAUGCUGCAGGCAAUGAUGAUGGUAACUAGAUACAAAUUUUGUCCAUGUUAUUUAUGGGAUGCAGCACGAUCAAUUGUUUUUUUCAUAUAUAUUUGUUCAAUCCUUUUAUGAACUUGAGUUUAAUUUGCUUUAGCCGUAGUUGACUUUGACUGGUCUCUUGAUCUUUUUGUUCAGAUGAUGAGAGUGACACAGAAGAGGAGUUUGCAGCAGAAGCAUCUGCUAGUAAAGAACAAGAUUCGAAAGAUGCUGUAAGCAGCUAUCCAAUUCCAAAGGAUGCACCUGAUACUAAAGCAUAAACAAUUCGAGAAUGGUGAACCAUAACAUAGCUUUGACUAUGUAAGGGCUAGACAAGCUUUCCUGAAAGGUUGCUUAGCAUAAACCUUCGCAGGGUUAACUGAUGGUUCGGUAAUGGCAUGUUAACUUCUUUUCAGCGUUUUGACCCUGGAUUUUUAACAAGCUAGACAUAUAUGUGUUGGCCAUACAUAAUACUAUUUGAGAAUGGAAAUGUUGUCUUUGUUUCCUUUGAGUGCAGGGGACAAUGAGUUCUAUAGUUUUUCAGUGAAGUUACACUUCUCUGAGCAAUGAGAGUUCGUUUUAGAAAAAGCAAACUAGUUUGAGUUUUGAUCAAUGUUUCAAAAUUUGGGAUGGUCAUAUAACCCGUGUAGACGUUUUGAAUUAGUGACUAAGGUCCUGCUUCGAUCUGUUUGAUAAGCUUUGUUCAUAAGCAUUUGUAAAAAAGGAAAAUAAUGUAGAAUGAAUUUAGCUUGUUCCACAAGCAAAUUUGCCAAGAGAUUCCUAUAUAAAAGGGACGGAGUAUAGAAGGAAAGAAAAACAAAUUGACUUUCAAAUUAAUUUAAAUUUUUUCUUCUUUCUAUUUUCUGUCCUCAUUUUCUUUCCACCUAAACAAAUAAAAGUUAGUAGACAUUUUUUUUUUACAAGGUGAGAAGAAGAAACGAGGACUAACUUAUGGAAGGAAAAAGGAAAAGAUGGUGAUUUUUGAACGGAAGGAUGAAAAGAAACUGUGGGAAAUAUUAUGGUAUUUCGAAAGAAUGGAGGAGAAUAAAAAGGGAAUAGUUAAAAAAAAUGGUUACCUAGACGUUAGCAUGAAGUAUCAAUUAGUUUUUUUUAAAUUAAUUUUUAGUGAAAAAAAUUUAUUGAUAAUUUUUAAUGGAAUUUUUUUAAAUCACACUCGAAUUUGAAAUCUUAUUUAAAGAUAUUUAACUUAGUUCUAUUCAAACGAAGGACAAUCUUAUUUAAAGAUAUUAAACUUAGUUCUUUUCGACCCAAGGACUUGUUGCUUAAAAAUAGAUUAAAUUUGAAAGAUUAGAAGAUAUUUAACUCAAUUUAAAAUAUGGAUAGAUAAACACAUGCAUAUUUAUUGUUCGGCUAGUAAAAAUAUUAAGAAUAUUUUACAAUUUAAUCCUUCAAUAAAAUGGUGCACCAUAGUAGGUGAACAUGAAGGAAUUUGUGUGAAUUAAAAUUAAUGUAAUUUAUUUUUUAUAUAAUAAUAAUAUUUUGUUACUUGGUCUCUUGGCGUAUUCCUCUCCCGUUUCUAUAGGCAAAGUUUGUGAAGCCACAGAGUCCUAGACAUGACGUGUUGAUUUCCGACCACACAUACAAACACCUAAAAUGUUGCAACCACCUUUGAAACACUGUCUAUUCUCUUUGCAAAAGAAACCAAAAGAGAAAAGAGAAAAGAGAAAAAACCUGUCACUAACCGCGACUUCCAAGUUAAAACUAAAUAAUAAUCAACGUAGACAUAGUUUUUCUAUCCAGACGCAGUUAACACCAUAGAAUCUCGAUCAAAGCCAUUCACUGCCAAUGCUUUCUCCCUCAAGCGUUCAUCUCUUGGAAGCAAUAACUAAAGGUAAUCUUGUACGAUCUUCGUUGAUGGGAAAUUUGUUGGAUUAAUAUUUGACCAUUUGAAAUGUUUAUGAUGUCUAAAUACAAUUAAUUCAUUUGGAGUGUAUCUAUAUAUGUUGAAUGAGAAUGUUCGUGAAUCUAAUGUGAGAAAUGUCUAAUCUGAUUCUUGUGGCUAAGAUGUUAAAAUGUCUAUUGUGGUACCUAUAAAAAAAAUUGUAUUUCAAUAUAUAUAAUUGAAUUGAUGGGACAAAAUAUUUUCUUAGAAAACCUCUUCUGUCUGUAAAAAAAUCAGAUGGCAUGUAUUGAAGAAAUUCCAAGAUGAUCCCAGAUUGAUACUUUGGAAAUUUUAUAACCAUUUACUUCUGAUUAAAUAAUAUUUUAUAUUUAAUUUAAGUGAGUUAAAAUAUGUUUUUGUUCCCUCAAAUUUAGAUCAUUCUUGUUUUUGGUUCUUUAAAUUUAAAUUUGUUUUUUUAAUCUGAAUUUUAAAAAAAAUGUUAUUUUUAAUCUUCUUAACAGUUUUUUUGGCAGUUUAAAUAUCCAAUUUGUUUUGUGACUAAAAAAUAUAUAAGUUUAGUUUAACUACAUAUGUCACGCAUUGAUUUUUAGUAUAAUAGUGUGAUCCUAUAAGAAACUCUCCAUAUGUUGGCAUUGUAGGUAACUAGUUUUGUUUGUCACGAUUUAGGUGUCUUUGCUUUUAAUAAAUCUGAACUUCGUCUGAAUGCAUUUGGCCUGACUUCUAAGAUAUUCCUAACCAUCAAAAUCAAGAAACAAAGAAACAGAAGAAAUACCAAAUCAACUUGCUAGUUCUGUACUUGUACACCUGAUUUUUUAGUAUAGUGAGUGAAGAGACUAACAGUAGAUCUAUAAUAUUUCCAUUAUGAUCAAUUGUUUUAUUUGAGUUGCUGCAAUAUAUUCUUAGCAUUUUACAAUAAGCAUAUAAAAAGGGAAGGUAGAGACAGUAAAGUGUAUGCUAAGCAGAUGUUUCUUGGGAGGACAGUGUAUUAAGCACAUGGUCAAUUAAGUAUACUUAGAAUAUACUUUCCUGUCUCUAUCUUCGCUUUUCAAAUUGGUUCAAAGGAUUUCCUAUCGAAUUGGUGAGAGAUAAAUGCACUUAACUUGUGCAUGGAAGUUGUAGAUCAUGUGCAGUGGCAAAAGUAUAAAGGGUAUGUACUUAUAGUUCAAACCAUAGAUAAUAAGAUCCACUUAUCUGGCUUUUUCACUUUCAUAUUUUCUUCUAUAUCACGUGUUUCUGGGUUGCUUGCUACCACAAUUCAUGAUAUCAAUAGCACUGAUGAAAGGCAAAGAUGACUUUGUUAUAAUAAUAUACAGCAUAUUUCUGAUUAAUUUGUUUCAUUUGUGUACAUCAAAUUUAUGCCCCGUGUUUGGUGUGGUGAUUGUAGGACAGAAGGGAAACGAAAGGAUCAUCGUCUGCAGAUAAUACAAAGAAGAAGACAAGAAAGACUCAAGUUGCAAAUUAGAGAUUGAAGUCACCUAUGGUGUAUAAUAAUUGACUCAAGUGGCUUAUAUUCUGAAGCUGACGUUCUGUUUUGAGCAUAUAUGACUUCUGUGAUUGUACAGUGGAAAUUUUGACAUAACGUAAUGGAUUUCGGUGAAGGUUACGUAUCAAAUGAGCAUCGCGAGCUUCAUCGAUCUGCAACAGAAAGUGCAGAUCCAUUAUCUGUUUCUCCAUUGCAGCUUUCACCUAAGUCAUCACGAUCUCAAAAAUCUCCAAGGUCCCCUAAAACUCCUAGGUCUCCACAAUCUCCAAGGUCCCCAAAGGUGCAGGGCAAGUGCAGCAAUCUAAGUCCAAGGAGUCAUAGACAAUCAUAUUUCCAAAAAGAUGGACGUCCAAAGAAAGGUGAAGUCUUUUUACCCAUUGAAGUUUUUCAUGGCUUGAUAACUUCUUCACCAAGUAGCUACCAUAAAAUAUGUGGUAAAUGACGGUCAUAGACUUGUGUUGCCAGUUUCCCUCAUUUAGUCUUAGAAGACUCAUGAUAAUUGGACACAUUAAUUUCUUGAAUUCUUGAAAACCCCUGUCCAUAGAACAACAUAAAGAUCUUUAACUUUUAAAUAUUAUUAUUAUCUAAGUACUUGGAAUAGUAGAAUAUUCGUUCAACGUUCAGCUAUGCCAUUUGGUCACAAACUCACAGGCAUUGAAUGGAAUGGUCUAGCCUUGAUGUUUUAUGACUAAUCAAAUCAUACAUGAUAAAAUAUUUGCAUUCCUUAAAUUCAAAGAAGCAACCGACUUACCCUACUCUCAUUAUUUAGGUGGUUCUGGGGGAAAAGGCACCUGGGGUGGAUUGCUUGAUACAGAUGACACAAAUGUUCUUGAUCCUAAUGAUCCAAACUAUGACAGCAGUGAGGUAAGGGGUUAAGAUUCGGUCUCUUAUAUUUACUAAAAGAGCUUGUCUUUGUAACACCAACGACCAUGAAAAUAUAUAUGGUUUUGUAGGAAUUAGACCAUUCAAAUGAAAAGAAACCGAUGACAGAUCUUGACAACUACAAGAAAAAAGCUACAAUAAUAGUGGAGGAAUAUUUUGCCACUGAUGAUGUUGUUGCAACAAUGAAUGAAGUUAAAGAAUUGGGAAAACCACAGUAUGGCUACUAUUUUGUCAAAAAACUUGUCUCUAUGUCCAUGGACAGACAUGACAAAGAAAAAGAAAUGGCUGCUAUUCUGUUAUCUGCACUUUAUGCCGACGUACUUGAUCCUUCACAAGUUUACAAAGGCUUCAGCAAAUUAGUUGACUCAGCAGAUGACUUGAUUGUAGAUAUACCAGACACAGUUGAAGUUCUAGCUCUUUUCAUAGCUCGAGCUGUGGUUGAUGACAUACUUCCUCCUGCAUUUUUGAAGAAGCACAUGGCCUACUUACCCAAAGAUUCAAAAGGGGUUGAGGUCUUGAAAAAAACUGAGAAAAGCUAUCUAGCUGCCCCUCUGCAUGCGGAAAUCAUAGAGCGAUGCUGGGGUGGAAGUAAGAAUACCACAGUUGAUGAUGUUAAAGCCAAGAUAAACAAUUUUUUGAAGGAGUAUGUUGGAAGUGGUGACAAGAAAGAAGCCUUCAGAUGCAUCAAAGAUUUGAAAGUUCCUUUUUUCCAUCACGAAAUAGUGAAGCGGGCACUUAUAAUGGCAAUGGAGAGACGUCAAGCAGAAUCCCCACUGUUAGACCUGUUGAGGGCAGCAGCUGAAGAAGGUUUCAUUAACUCCAGCCAAAUGUCUAAAGGUUUCGGUCGGUUGAUUGACACUGUUGACGACUUAUCACUUGACAUACCAGAUGCACGUGGAAUACUACAGAAACUGAUGUCUAAAGCAGCAUCUGAGGGUUGGUUAUGUGUGUCAUCUUUGAAAUCACUUUCAGUGGAGCCUGAAAAGAACACCAUAGAAGAUAGUGCUGCCAAAAGUUUCAAGGUAAAGACUCAGUCUAUCAUUCAAGAGUACUUCUUAUCGGGUGAUAUAUUGGAGGUAAAUAGCUGUCUAGAACAAGAAAACAGCAAGAACUGUGCUGCACUCAAUGCAAUCUUUGUUAAAAAACUGAUAACUCUGGCAAUGGAUAGGAAGAAUAGAGAGAAGGAAAUGGCUUCUGUGUUGCUGUCGUCUUUGUGCUUCCCAGCCGAUGAUGUAGUGAGUGGUUUUGUAAUGUUGAUAGAGUCAGCAGAUGAUACUGCUCUCGACAAUCCUGUUGUUGUCGAGGAUCUUGCUAUGUUUCUAGCUAGAGCAGUGGUGGAUGAAGUCCUAGCCCCACAACACCUUGAAGAGAUUGGAGCACAGAGUUUGGGACCAGGUUCAAUUGGGAGCAAAGUGCUUCAAAUGACAAAGUCAUUGCUAAAGGCAAGACUUGCCGGGGAGCGAAUCUUAAGAUGUUGGGGUGGUGGAGGGAGUAGCAGGCCUGGAUGGGCAUUUGAGGAUGUCAAGGACAUGAUUGGGAAGCUGUUGGAGGAGUAUGAGUCUGGAGGCGAGAUAAGGGAGGCAUGUCGCUGCAUGAAAGAGUUAGGAAUGCCAUUUUUCCAUCAUGAGGUUGUUAAGAAGGCUUUGGUGACAACCAUUGAAAAGAAGAAUGAGAGGUUGUGGGGUUUACUCAAGGAGUGCUUUGAAUCAGGACUAAUAACCAUGAAUCAAAUGGUGAAGGGUUUUGGAAGGGUUGCUGAAUCUCUUGAUGACUUGGCCUUGGAUGUCCCUGAUGCUAAAAAUCAGUUUGCAUGCUAUUUUGAAAGAGCAAAGGCCAAUGGAUGGUUGGACAAUUCAUUUUGUUUCAGCAAACAGGAACAUGCAACAGAGAAUGGCACUCACUAAUAAUAAUGUGGGAAAUCAUCAGAAACACUACUUUUGCUUUAUCUCUUUUUCCAAAUCUACACUUGAAUCAAAUGCAUACACAUGCAGACAUCAAUUGGCCUGCCUAUGCAAGCACAACUACAUUACUAGCCUUGUAGAGAACUUGAAAUUUCUGUUUGGUUUCUUCUCAGAUGCUCCUUUACCACUGGAGCUUACAGAAGCUGAAGUUACUUUACACUUGCCCCACCCGCACAACAAUUUUUAGUUCUAAAUAAACAUGAACACAUAUAUAUAAAUCCAAACUCGUAUGAAUUACCAAAUAUAGUUUAUAACAAUUCAAUACAGUAUUUUUUUUUGUAGUCAAAUUCUUGAAGGUGUUAUUUGAUCCCAGCCUCCUUGAAAGCUUCUUUGAUAUAUGCUUUUUCUAAUAAGACAAACUUAGAUGAAUCCAUAUGGUCAAUUAGCACAAUCGAUGACAGAUUAUUCUUUUUUUUUUUUAUCAACCAAUGUUAAUUAUUAGUUUGCUAGUAGGAGGAAUUCGAACCCACAACCUCUUCCUCUCCCCCUUCUCCCUUCAACUAACAAGACAACCUUAUAAAUCCACUCUGAUGAUUAUAUGACAUGCCGCCCUGAAGAUAUCAGUAUACACAAGGUUGAAGAGAAAGACGCGCUGAAGCAAAAAAAUGCAUAGGACAAAUAGAAAAGAAAGUCAAUUAUGCCACAUUGAAACUUAUAUAUAUAUAUAUGCCACAUUGAAACUUAUAUAUAUAUAUAUAUAUAUAUAUAUAUAUAUAAUUUUAGAUUGUUGAAAUCAUAUAUUGCUCUUUCUCUAUUCUGUUUCUAUUCUGUUUUGGAAGAAGCAUAUACAAGGAAACCUGUAACGUAAAUCUCUAUCAAUAUACCCUAUUUUGCUCCUUUUUAUGCUUAUACUCAAGUCAUGCAUGGCCAUUUGUAAUGCAUUGCAUUACGAUAUUGUAUAAUAAACGCAGGGUAUAAUAGCGGGAAAAAAAAAAUAUUUUCCGUUAAAAGAUAAGAAAAAAAGGAGUUCUAAACUCGGGCUAAUAUUCUUUAAUCGCAACUAUCAUUCAAUCUCCAAACAACAAUCAUCGGUAACACUCCAUAAAAUUAAGAAGAAUCAGUUUCUCUCAUUUAGUUGCUUCCAUAUUAUUUAUAACUCAGCUUCUAAAAAUAUUCUAAGGAACAUUUAGUACUUUUCAAAGAAGAAAAAAAUAUGCAGGGUGCAACACGAGUGUACGCAAUGGAAAAGAACGAAAAUCAUAGAAAGCAGAAGUUUAAACCUUUUUAGCAUUACAACUGAAUAUAGAGCAUAAGUAAUUGAUACCUCUAAUAUUUGUAAUGACAUUUCUGCUUUAUUUGUUUACAGUAUAAUCAAGAAUCAUUAUUUUUUUCCCACAAAUUAACCACCUCUUUUAUUUAACGACUAACAAAGACAAUUUUAUAUUAAAGCUUGAAAACUGUUAUGCAAAAAAAGAGAGCUAUAUUUCACCAUUUUUGCUCGCACUUCAAGUUUUAUAUAUUAUAAAAAAAUACUGUCUUUUCCAUUUCUCAAUCUUAUUAACUACAUUGUAUUUUGAAAUUUAGUAUUAAUAUCACUCAUUUGUGUAUAAUUACACUUAAUUAACGGGUAGAAUUAUGUUGUUUGUAAUUGAGAAUCUUUAUGGUGACGUGACAUGAUAAUAAGGAAUCGUGUCUGAUAUGUCGACUGUACGAACUAUAAGAAGCGGUUCAGAUUUAUAAGAAAAAUAGAAUUUAUACACUAUAUUUGAAUAUAAAUUCGUAAAUUUAUAAUAAUUCAUAUCUUUUAACUAAUGACUCAUCAUUCAACCAAUGACUUGUCAAUUUAGUAUGAUCAAUGAUUAGCUCAGUUCUGAUAAUAUUUAUCAAUUUUCAACUUUUCUAAAAAAAAAAAUUACCUUCCUAUUGCUACUCAUCAAGCAUCUAGUCACUUGCAAUUAACUUCAGUUCAAGGCUCUUGAAGAUGAACUAUAUUUUCAGUUCUUAUGCAGCAAUAUUUCAAUUCUUCCGUCUUGACUUUUUUCAAGGAUCACGAUUUUCCGUUAAUUCACACUUUUUUUUUCCAAGUAUAACUAUAUAAACAUCAAUACUUCUUGAUGAUUAUAAAUUGUUGCCUAAUAACACUUGUACUCAUCCAUGAAGAAUAGAAAACGAUAUAAUACUAGCUAGCUCAGAAGAUUCCCCAUGCAUGAUAUAAAACUAUUUCUUUCCACUCCAAUCAGUGAUCACAUAUUUGAGCAACAACAGGAAAAAGAUCUAUCAUCUAUGUAGAUAGAUAGCUUAUACUCGCUGAACAAAAACAUCUAUAUGUAUCAUCACAUGUGACAUCUCUUGUAUUGUGAUGAAAUAAUUAAUUAACAAAACUAUGUCAGUUUGAACAAAUCUUGAAAGUGUAUAGAGAAAUGCAUAAAACCCUACCACAGAAGCCUCACACACAAGUUCAUUCACCAACCACGCUUCUUCAGAAAAUCUCUAGUUCUCUUCCUCGUGCGGGUGAAGACAAUAACCACACAAGCCAAGAUCCAUGGAGGGAAGUUCACACCAGAGAAAUUUAACUUCUUCAACCAGUCCGGAGUAUCCCUCGAAACUAGUGUUAUCAUAAAGGUUAUUAAAGCAACCCCAACCAAGAUCCUGGUCACUGGUUUAACAAGUGAGUCCUGCAAAAGAAAAGUUUCAGUCUUUCAGCUAAUGACAAUAUUACAUGCACUGGUAUUAUGAUUACAUUAACUGCAUCUUCAUAUUGGGAGUAUUUCAACUUUAAAAAUAGUGUAGAAAUGUAUAACUGUAUAUACAUCACUCGUGAAAAAAAUAUAUAAAUUAUGUCAAAUCCUCUAUAUGACCAGUUUAUAUGAAGCAAAUAUAAACGCAUCUUUAAUCAAAUAUGAACAAGCAUGGUAUACAAGAAACAUUUUGACACCAUUACCUCUCAAAAAUGAAAUUUUUUUAGCUCUCAGAUUAAUACAGAAGCAUAUAAAUUAUUGAUCACUGAUGCCUCUGGUAUACUCCUCUUAAUUCCUUGAAACAACAGAAAAUUUCUAGAAAAUGUUCCCCUCCUUGGCACUCAGAUAAAAUCAUUUUAGACUGUUGUUAGACAACAACCUAUGGAAUUCUUCUUAUUGUGGCUGCCAAUUUAACUCAACAUCAUUGAAAUUUCUACGUAAAACCAAGCAUAAUAUGGGGCUUUCUUUCCACCCGCUAACUUUCCUUUUUUACAGAAUCCGCAUACUACUCACAUACUAAUUUUCUGCUCUUUACUUAUCCAUAACAUAUUAACAUGGGAUUCAAGACUAAGACCUAGAUAGAAUAUUCCCCUCCCUAAUUUAUUAGUACACUGAAACCUUUUGAGCUUCACUAAACUAGAUCACACAUUCUUUUCUUCCCAUUACAAAAAGCAAUUUAACAUAAACAAGUUAAAUUUCUUUUCUUUCUUAGUUCCUAACCAUUAAAUUCAUUUGCUCUCCAUAAUCCUUAUUAGGCAAUAGGCACACAAAAUCUCAAAUUCCCUUCUUCAUUCAGAUCCUUUCAUCCAAAAACCCACUCUUCCAAAAACAUUUAUGCUAUGUUUUUUGGUUUCCACAAGUAUUUUCCUUCAUAAGCAAUCCAAUUCCGAAGCUCAGUCAGACACUAAAUAUGAGCACAUCUCCUGACGACAAACUGUAGUUUGUCAUGCUGUGGGAUAGUAGCUCCUUCUCCUAGAUCCAACCCCCUUAGUAUGAUGUGUUUGAAAGUUGAAACAGCAAAAAGAAAUUGAUAGAAAAAAAAUAAUAUAUAUAUAUAUAUAUAUAUAUAUAUAUAUAUAGUAGAGUAAAGAAAGUAAAAAUGAUAAUUUUUUUCCUUCCAAAAACUCAAUAUUUAUUUUCGUUUCUUUUCAUUUUCUUUCUUCUCUGUUUUAUUUCUCUCUUCCACACAUUCCAUAAAGCUUCACCCAUUUAAUCAAUCAGUCACUCCCAAUACCAUAAACUUAUGAAAAUUAAAAAACUGUAAAUUUAUUUGAAUUAAAAAAAUCUUAUAAUUACAUCCCAGAGUGUGUGUUCUUCCUCCUCCAAUUCUCUCCCGUGAACCUAGAACCUUGACUCUCAGGUUCUGGCCAAACACAAUUUUUGAUGACUCCUCCAAUGUUACUGGCAACUAGUCACCACUAUCCACCACCGUUACAAGCCUCCCUCCUCCACUCCAUUUUUAUCUCCUCUUGCUCUCCUUCUAGUUUGAGUCCUUUUCCUUCUUCGUAGACUCGUUGAGUCACUUCAACUCAGUUUCCAGAGAACCGAUUUUCUUCUCUAGAGCACGGUUUCGGCUUUGAAUCUCACUCUUCUCACUGCUCACCACUUCAAUCGCCUCCUUGAUCAACGUUUCAAUGACAAUAACAGUAAGCGACUCUUGAGAACUCUUCACCGUUAAAUCUUUCUUUGUUUUCAGUUCCGCUAUGUCUCUAUGUUUUUGAGACAAAACCUCUUCGCCUUCCAACUAACCUUCUCUGCUCUUCGGCGAGAGCACUCGCUUUGUUCUCCAGACCCGUGGCAGGGUCGCUGACCUCACGGUGGAGAACGGCAACCUCGUACUCCCUCUCUUCGACCAGCGUCUCUAAGCGAAGAUUCACUUCGUGGAGCUGGUUUUUGACGAAGACAGAAAUGACGGCGGAGCAGUGGAGCACGAACGGGAGAGAGUCAAUCUGUUUGCAACUUAAGGGGAGAGAGUUGAAGGAGGAAGGAUAUAGCCUCAGAAGUCCAAGAUAGCAUGAUGUACCAAACAUAAAUAUAAGUGUUAAAAAAAUUUGUGCAUCGUAUGCAAAUUUAGAUACUUAACCAUUGUGCCUAAGAAGAUAUAUUAAAUAUUUAUAUAAUAAAAAAUUAAAUUUCUUUUGUUAUAUUUGGUUUAUAAUCAACUAAAUGAGAAAUUUUAUAAAUAUAUUAUUGUUAUUAUUAUUACUAAAAAAAAGAAUUAAAUAUAUUUUUUAUCAUUGAUAUAUAUCUGAAUUUUGUAUUUAUUUUUUAAUAAAUAUUUCAUUUGAGAUGAAUUUAUAAUAUUUAAAAAAAUUUGUGUUAGAUCCUUAUUCACAAAUUAAGUGUGAUAUGUAAGUUAAUCAGAUGACAAAUACUACGACACACUAACUUAAACCUAAAUCAUGUGUUGUUGAACAUGAUAUAUAUCCAAAUUUUAUAUUUGGUCUUUCUAGUAAAUGUUUACUUUGACCUGAGUUCUUAAUAUUUAAAAAAUUUCCUGUGAUAUCCAUUAAUGAUGUGACUAUUAACUCGACGCCUCAAUAAAUUACAUAUGUGAUAUCACGUGGGAUUAAGUGUGAGACUUAGAGCUAAACACAUGACAAAUGCUAUCACACACCAAUCUAAACCCGAAUUGCGUGCUACUGAACAUGAUAGGAGCCUGGUGCACCAAGUAGAGAAUCCCCUUCAUUGUAGUUGCAGAAGCAACCAUGAUAGUCGUUCUCAUGAACCCUUCAUUCUCCCCACCAAUGUCGUCCCCACACUCUCCCUCGUCCUCUCCGAUCGCUCCCUCAACACCACCCCCAGCCUCUUAAUCCCCGUGUUGGUAACUUCACCGUUGUGUUUCCCUGUAACCGUUUUUGCUUUGAAGGGGAUGUUCUGCUCACGGCACCACUAUGCUAUCAUGUUCCGCAACACGUGAUUGGGGAUUAGGUCGGUGUGUGAUGAUGUUUGACAUGCAACAUAAAUAACUGUCACAUCAACGGAUCCUUUAUCAUGAAGGGACCUGCAUAAAAAUUUUCAAAUAUAAAGAAUUCAUCUCAAAUAAAUUUUUUAUUAGAAACCAAAUAUAAAACACCAAUCAAAAAUAUAUUUAAACUUAAAAAAUUAAGUAAAACUGAAGCCACACAUUUGUCUUCUAAACUUUCAUUAACUAAAACUAUGGAUGUUUCUACAUGACAACGCGAAAAUGCCAUACACUACACGACUUUCUUUGUUUAGUUUUUUUUCUCAAAUAUAUUUGAAAUAUAUUUUUUAAACUAUAUUAUAUAUUAAAUAGAUUAUUAUGUAUAUAUUUUAAAAUCUAUUUAUAUAUACUUUUUUAAAUACAUAUAAAAUAUAUUAGAAAAACAUAUAAAAUUAUUAUUCUAGGCUUAUUUUUAACAAGUUAGAUUCUGAAAUUUUUUUAUAUGUCUUUUUAAUUAAAAAAAAUCAAGUUAAAAUCAGCAGAAACUCUUCUGUUGAGUCAAGCCUAUAAUAAUAAUAAUAAUAAUAAUAUAUGUAUAAAAUUUCUCAUUUAGUUAGUUACGUAUUUUAUUUUACAUAAACAAAAAGAUAACAAGAGAAAUUAUUUUUUUAUAAAUAUAUAAUAUUUUUAUAAAAUCAAAUCAUUAUUAAAGGCAAUAAAUUAUAUUAUUUCCUUAUUAAAAGGAAUUAGAUUUUUUUGGUACAUAGUGAAACUAAAACAAAAGAAGAAAGCAAGAAAACUUCAAUUGACUUUCAGGACAUUGUAUAAUCAUCAUAGCUGUAUUGAAUAAAAAAUUUAAGUUUGAAAUUGAUUAAAAAUAAUAUUAAAAUAAAAUAUAUAACUAAAGAAUAACCCUUAUUUUAUAAGUUAAUUUUAGGAAUAAAUUACAAUUAAAUUCAUAUUUUAAUAUGAUAUUAGAAUUUAAAUCCAUUCAAAAGAUUACUAUUAUGUUAUUCACGUGUUAAGUUUAAAAGUAUUAGACAUGAGAAAUAUAUUACAAAAUUUAAAUCUCACACGAUAACUAAAAAUAAAAUAUAUAAAUAAAUAACAAGUCUCAUUAUACAAACUAACUUUAAAUUAAACUCAAAUCACAUCUUAAAACUCUCAACCUCGGGUAUUUUAAUUAGUCCAACAAGAUGACAGUCAGAGGGGGAACUAAAGAAGGAAAAUGAAAUCACAAGAAUGCCCUCGUUGUGGACCCUUUUUCUAUAAUUUUAGAGGUUAAUUUUUUAAUUUUAUUUUUUUAGUUGUAAACCUUUUAUUGGUGGCAUGUAAGUAUGACGUGUCGUGUUUCUAUCUCACGGAAUGACGUGAAAACAAAGGUCCAGAGUCCACUUGUGUGCCCCUUAAAUGCAGUCAAUUAAUAUUUACUAAAAUAAAAUGCAGUCAAUUAAUAUUUACUAAAAUAAAAUGCAGUCAAUUAAUAUAAUAAAUGUAGUGAAUUAAUAUAAUGUGAAAAGUCCCAGAAACGUCAACUUCAACGUGCGGGAAUUAUGACAAAGAAAAAAAAAACAUGCCUCAUUGUUACACGCAUCAUUGUCAUCGGACGUGGGUCCACAUCAUUAUGCUUAUACUCCUUAGUACCACACCAACAUCAUAUAUAAACCUCAAGGGAACAAAGAACCAAAAUAUUUACUAAAGCAAAUUAUAAAAAAAUCCUCAAUCCCUUUUUGGUAAUCCCUAGCCACUGUAAUCCUUGUUUUUUUUUUUGUCUUUUCGUUGUUUUCUUUCACUGUUUGAUCCUUACACUGCUACUUUGACUUCAGUUAAUUGAAAUUUUGCAGAAAAAAAAUGGCGGCGGCGAUGGUUCCAGCAGGAGCAUUGAACGGUAUGCAAUCUGGGAAUGCCUCUUUGUACGUUGGUGAUCUUGAAAGGAACGUUGACGAGGCGCAGCUGUUUCAACUGUUUGCCCGAGUGGGCCCAAUAUUUUCAAUUAGAGUUUGUAGGGAUGAGACAAACCGAUCUCUUGGAUAUGCUUAUGUUAACUUUGUCAACCCACAGGAUGGUUUGUUACAUCAUUCUUCAUUGUUUAGAAUUAAAAAAAUUGUUUUGUGCCAAAAAGUUAUUAUUAUUAUUUUUUGAUUGAAGUUCUAGAUUUCAUUAUUUGCUCUGAAUGAAAUAAUUUGUCUACUGAGAUGGGGGUGGUGUUUUGUGUUUUCUAAUUCUGUUUGUGUUGGUUGUUUUUUUUUUUUUUAAAUGAUAAACAUAAAAAAAUAUCAUUCGCCCUCAUGAGUGAAUUGUUUUUUUUUUUUUAUAUAUAUUUGUAUUAUUACUUGGGUAACGGGUGAUUCCUUUUCUUUUAGUGAGUUCUGCAUUUGAUUAUUUUCAUCUAGAGUAGUCUUCUGUCUGGGUUGUACGUUUGGUGUUUUUAAAUGUGUUGUUUAUUACUGAAUGAAUUUUUUAAUUGAAUAAAAGAAGAAAAAUACCUUGUGAGUUUGAUGCUGCGCUAAUUCAAUUCAUUUGGAGUAUAAUAUUUCAGUGAAUUUUGUUUUCACAGGGAGAGUGGUGGGAAUUUGUGGGUGUUUCCCCUUCUCUCUCUUCAAUUAUAAUAUUUCUCUGUCUUUAAUGUUUGACUCUUGUUUUGUGGUCCAAGAGUUAAUAAUAAUAAUGACAACAAUAAAUAAAAUAGGCUUUUUGUUUGGAAUGACCUAAAUUUUAAUGCGGGUUUCUCAUGCUUAAUAAUGACAACAAUAAAUAGAAAAAAGUUUUUAUUUCACUGAUAAAUUUUUUUUAAGUCUAGUCAGAUUUGCCUUCUCUAAAGUGAUAUGCACCCUUUAGAGAAGCUAAAUUGAAUCUUUCCAAUUAUGAUUCUGAAGGAAACUUUCAUUGUUUUUGUUUUACAAUAAACAAUGCUUGAAUUACAUUGAAUUUGAGAAAGUUGUUCGCUCUACCAUUUGUUUGGUUACUUCUUGUUCU
rnacentral:lncRNA from 1 species